rnacentral:rRNA from 1 species
UACGUAGGGUGCGAGCGUUAAUCGGAAUUACUGGGCGUAAAGCGUGCGCAGGCGGUUUUGUAAGUCUGACGUGAAAUCCCCGGGCUUAACCUGGGAAUUGCGUUGGAGACUGCAAGGCUGGAGUCUGGCAGAGGGGGGUAGAAUUCCACGUGUAGCAGUGAAAUGCGUAGAGAUGUGGAGGAACACCGAUGGCGAAGGCAGCCCCCUGGGUCAAGACUGACGCUCAUGCACGAAAGCGUGGGGAGCGAACAGG